rnacentral:misc_RNA from 1 species
AACUUAGCUGCUGGCCAUAUGCCGACUGCUGCCGACUUGGAAACGCGUAAGAUGGCGGCGCCCAAUGUUGAUGAUCGACGGAAGGCUCUCAAGGAAACUUUCGAUGUGCUGUUGGAAAUGUCCCAACUGCUCAACACAGGCCUGGACGCACAGUCGCUGGCGCUGUGUGUCCGACUGUGCGAGAGUGGCGCAAACCCCGAAGCUCUGGCCGGCCUCAUCAAGGAGCUACGCGCCCGAACGGCGCCCAACGUCACCACUUGGAGCCUGCGCCCUGAACAUGCCGAGCGGUGACUGAGCAGGUCUUCUCCUUAAGAACGCUGCUGGCCUCCAAGGUGAGUUCUUUUGGCAAAAUGAUUACUCCAGGAGUGGCUGUGGUUACCCCUGCUCGCUACUCUGCAAAUCAAUGAGAACGGCUUUGCGUAGCUGCUUCAAAACUCUGUGGCACCUGUGCGCUUCGGUCACUGAGUCUUUUCGUCAAAGGCAGAAGCACCACACUUCUGGGCCGCCAUGUGUCCGCAAGUGAACCACGAGGAAGCGGCCAGCGGCAUACAAGUUGUUUCUGAAAUGCACUUAAGGCUUUCUCGUGUGCUGUCCAUUCAACAUAGCAUUACGGGAUCAGUGUUACUUUUACUGGGGGUGUCCAGACCUCCCUUCAACUCCAGGUAGCAAAAAUUAAGUCAACAUUGUUACCGAACAGUGGCAUCAUAUGCUGGAAUAUAUGCAACCUGUUUAUUUACCUUCUUAAUUUAUUGUCUGACACAUCUUAGGAUAGUUUGCUUUAAUUUUGGAAACCUUGAACAAUUCACUCACAGCAAUAAAAGAUUGCAAUGCAGUGUCAAGGUAUUGAAAA